GACAGAGGGUGCAAACGUUGUUCGGAUUUACUGGGCGUAAAGCGCGUGUAGGCGGCUUGGCAAGUUGGAUGUGAAAGCCCACGGCUCAACCGUGGAAGCGCAUCCAAAACUGCUUCGCUCGAGUCUCGGAGAGGAAGGUGGAAUGCUUGGUGUAGAGGUGAAAUUCGUAGAUAUCAAGCAGAACACCUGCGGCGAAGGCGGCCUCUGGACGAUGACUGACGCUGAGACGCGAAAGCGUGGGGAGCAAACAGG
rnacentral:rRNA from 1 species